rnacentral:rRNA from 1 species
CCUACGGGGGGCUGCAGUGGGGAAUAUUGGACAAUGGGGGGAACCCUGAUCCAGCCAUGCCGCGUGUGUGAAGAAGGCCCUCGGGUUGUAAAGCACUUUCAGUGAGGAAGAACGCCUGGUGGUGAAUACCCAUCAGGAAAGACAUCACUCACAGAAGAAGCACCGGCUAACUCCGUGCCAGCAGCCGCGGUAAUACGGAGGGUGCGAGCGUUAAUCGGAAUUACUGGGCGUAAAGCGCGCGUAGGUGGCUUGAUAAGCCGGUUGUGAAAGCCCCGGGCUCAACCUGGGAACGGCAUCCGGAACUGUCAAGCUAGAGUGAAGGAGAGGAAGGUAGAAUUCCCGGUGUAGCGGUGAAAUGCGUAGAGAUCGGGAGGAAUACCAGUGGCGAAGGCGGCUUUCUGGACUGACACUGACACUGAGGUGCGAAAGCGUGGGUAGCAAACAGGAUUAGAUACCCCAGUAGUC